CCAACGAGAAUUGAACGUUGCAGCUAAACACAGAUGAAUCAAAAGGCACCAACACGAAAGAACAAUCCCCUUUGAAGAGGCUUCUACAAUUUCCGUGAUUGCGUCGCCGAUCCUGCUCGCCUAUGACGUCCACAUCAUCGCAUCUCCACCACCAUUCACCGUGGAACCUUGUUUACGCGGACUGCAUCAAUGUGUUUGAUCCCGUCAUGGCGUGUAGCUUCGUUUUGGAUCCAAGGAUACGUUGCGUACGACAUCCCACACAACAUAGACGUCGCGGAUUGUCCGUCCUCACAUCUCUGUUACCGUAUGCUACAUACAGAAGAAACGGUGCCGAGGGGAAAUGAAGAACUUACCGAAUCGAAUCUCUGGUUGCAACCAGCUGUGAUUGUCAUAUCCAUAUGCAUAGUGUGAGUGUUGCUCAGUUAUGCUUAUGAGGGGUUUGGAUUGAAUGAAGAACCGAGAGUGCAAAGUGAAUUUUGAAGCGUGCAGUUCUGAAGACUCCUUGAAGAAGAUCCAAUUCUGCAGCAAGGUUCAAUGUUAUUUAUGAAGCAAUCUUGUUUUUUACUCUAUUGAAAAAGUUCUACAUGGUGGAGGCAAGAGGACUUGGAAGGAACAUGUAGAACAAGUUGGUGGCAAGCAAGCUCAAAACUAUAGUAAUUCCAGUACAAGGCUAAUGUAAUGAUAUAGGACUAUGCUUGAAUGGAUUUGUGAUAGAAUUUAAAUUGUGCAUUAGUAGAAAUUGUAAUUUUUGUAAUAAUUUGUGAAUUGUAUUGUAAUUUGAAUGUGAAAUGAUAAAUUGAAUGAUUGAGUAAAAUGUUUAAAUGACA